CCAGCCCUCAAUCGAGCCGUAAGUGAACCAAAAGUACUUUGGUAAAUAUAUCCUGUUUUUAUCUGAGAUCAAUAACCGAGACAUUUAGAUAUAUUAAAACCGAGCACCCUCCCAGCCCUCUCAGCCCAUUAGCAUUUCUAGCCGUUCGAUUUCAUGUGCUAAACGUCCCUAGCCGAUAGAUCUUCCUUCAAUAUGAUUUUUCUCGCAAGGCGGGCUGGCCGUCCUAAAGGGCAGCUAUUCCCGUAGCUUUUUUGGCCCACUGUGGUUAACUGGGCUGAUAUUUGGUUUCCCGGCCCAUAUCUCCGCCUCGACUCGUGAUGCCAAUCUCUCUGCCUCGACUCCUCCUCUCCCCAACUAAAAAAAACUCCUCUCCCCGACGUCUUCUCUUCUGUCCGCCUGCAGGGCUUGCGCCCGCACGCGCUUGACCGCCGGCGGGUGAAGGAGUCGGCGCCGGAUCCGGCGGCUUGUCGCCGCGCUUAUGGAUCCAGACCGCAUCCAUCGCGACUGGGUGGUGCCUGCGGGCCCAUCUCGAUUCCCGCCGCUGUCACCGACCCAGGCCUCCGGCGUCGACCUCAAUUCCUUUCUGUUCCUCCCCAUCAAGCAGGUCGUCACGCUUCACUAACAUUGACCUCGAGCGGCAGAGCCGUCCCCCGACCUCAAUCUCCAGUGGCAGCGUCCAGCACAUCCAGCCAUAUUGUCCACCGGCGGCGCCACCAGAUUCUCCCGCGACCUCAACCUCAUGUGGCAUCGUCUAUCAUAUUCAUAUCUAGCCAUAUCGUCCGCCGGUGGUGCCACCAGAUUCAGCGUCCACAUGUGCGGUGCGAUUGCCGUCCUAGAUGGCUUCCGCACAUCCAUGCCUUGCCUACAGCCUACAGGUACAACCAGCCUUUCCCCGUUCCAAUAUGCCUAGGCUAGAGAUGGAGGCCUUUCCCCAUGCGAGAAUAACCCAAGACAUGGCUAUGGUUAUGGUAGAUACACUGGAUUUAAUAUGUGAGUUCCAUAGUAUACAUAUUUUUUCUACUUGUCCUAGGUAUUCCAAAUAAAUUCAGAAUUCUCUUAUUUAUUUUAUGUAUGGUUUAAUUGCUUUUCGAAGUGCACAUUGUAUGUUGGUGAUACGUUUUUAAUUGAAUUCUUUCUCUUUUAGACUUUUACUGGAUUGAGCAGAACAAAAAAGAAUAAACGUUUUUGUUUAGUUUAUAAUAGAGAAAGGAACUUGGAAGGCGAUUCAGUUUUGUCAUAGGAAUUGAUGCUAAGUAUCUUGUGCAUUUAACUUUGAGGGGAAACCUCACCCAUACAAAUUCAAGAAUCAAUUAUCUAACCAGGUUUACUAAACAUCUAUGCAUUUCUCUUAUUUACUUUGCAUAUUCAUUACUAUUUUGUGAUUUGGUUGUGAUAACCAAUGGGAGGAAGGAGAAGAUCGCCUCCAGCAUGCCGAGACCUCAAGGCAACUCAAGAGCAGAUCGCCAAUGGAAGCUACACCAUCCUGCUCCAGCCGGAUCUGGAGGCCGGCGCACCAUGAUUCACCAAGGGCACCGUCGUGAGGUUCGUGCAGCACACUGGAGGUUUGGGAGCGCGUGAUGACCAUCAUGUCCAGGAUACUGCAGCUCGAGGACACCAUAGCCGUCCAGAGCAAUGAUAUCUUGGAUUGAAAUCUGCAGAAGGCCACGAUAGGAAACCGGUUAACUCCGUGGAAGUACAUCCUCUCCUCCUCUGAUGUUGAUGUGAAAUCUCCUUCUACAAGGUAACUAGAC